GAUGAACGCUAGCGGCAGGCCUAAUACAUGCAAGACGAACGGUAAGUCGAGUAGCAAUACUUGACCUAGAGUGUCGCACGGGUGCGUAACACGUAUGCAACCUACCCAUAACAGGAGGAUAGCUCCCCGAAAGGGGAAUUAACCCUCCAUAGUAUAAUUGGAUGGCAUCAUUUGAUUAUUAAAACUGAGGUGGUUAUGGAUGGGCAUGCGUCUGAUUAGUUAGUUGGCGGGGUAACGGCCCAGCAAGACGAUGAUCAGUAGGGGAACUGAGAGGUUGAUCCCCCACACUUCACUGGGCUGCGAGCCAGACUCCUACGGGGGGCAGCAGUAGGGAAUAUUGGUCGAUGGAUGGAAGUCUGAACCAGCCAUGCCGCGUGCAGGAAGAAGGCCUUAUGGGUUGUAAACUGCUUUUGCCAGGGGAUAAAAUAGCUGUGCGCAGCGAAUUGCAGGUACCUGGUGAAUAAGCCACGGCUAACUACGUGUCAGCCGCCGCGGUAAGAC
rnacentral:rRNA from 1 species